rnacentral:rRNA from 1 species
GAUGAACGCUGGCGGCGUGCCUAAUACAUGCAAGUCGAGCGAACAGACGAGGAGCUUGCUCCUCUGACGUUAGCGGCGGACGGGUGAGUAACACGUGGAUAACCUACCUAUAAGACUGGGAUAACUUCGGGAAACCGGAGCUAAUACCGGAUAAUAUAUUGAACCGCAUGGUUCAUUAGGGAAAGACGGUUUUGCUGUCACUUAUAGAUGGAUCCGCGCCGCAUUAGCUAGUUGGUAAGGUAACGGCUUACCAAGGCAACGAUGCGUAGCCGACCUGAGAGGGUGAUCGGCCACACUGGAACUGAGACACGGUCCAGACUCCUACGGGAGGCAGCAGUAGGGAAUCUUCCGCAAUGGGCGAAAGCCUGACGGAGCAACGCCGCGUGAGUGAUGAAGGUCUUCGGAUCGUAAAACUCUGUUAUUAGGGAAGAACAAAUGUGUAAGUAACUAUGCACGUCUUGACGGUACCUAAUCAGAAAGCCACGGCUAACUACGUG